UUUAAAUCUACUAACUUAUACAUGGUCACACUUAAGCGAGCAAAAAACACGCAUCCAGGACAGUUUUUGAUUGUCAUCAGGUAAGUAUUGCAGAUGUCCUUAUAAUCAUCCAGUGCGGAAGUCGUCAGUGUUGUUGUCACCGAUGAUUGGCAUGAGUUGUUACGAGUUGGGAUUAGUUGGAAUCGUGUUAAACUGUAGUUGUGAGGUGAGUACAUCAUACAGACACACACACAAACAUUUAUACUUAU